ACUCCUACGGGAGGCAGCAGUGGGGAAUAUUGCACAAUGGGCGCAAGCCUGAUGCAGCCAUGCCGCGUGUGUGAAGAAGGCCUUCGGGUUGUAAAGCACUUUCAGUCGUGAGGAAGGUGAGUGUAGUUAAUAGCUGCAUUUAAUUGAUCGUUAGCGACAGAAGAAGCACCGGCUAACUCCGUGCCAGCAGCCGCGGUAAUACGGAGGGUGCGAGCGUUAAUCGGAAUUACUGGGCGUAAAGCGCAUGCAGGUGGUUUGUUAAGUCAGAUGUGAAAGCCCGGGGCUCAACCUCGGAAUUGCAUUUGAAAACNGGCAAAACUAGAGUACUGUAGAGGGGGGU
rnacentral:rRNA from 1 species